CAGCCGCCAGGUAAUACAGAGGGUGCGAGCGUUAAUCGGAUUUACUGGGCGUAAAGCGUGCGUAGGCGGCUUCUUAAGUCGGAUGUGAAAUCCCUGAGCUUAACUUAGGAAUUGCAUUCGAUACUGGGAAGCUAGAGUAUGGGAGAGGAUGGUAGAAUUCCAGGUGUAGCGGUGAAAUGCGUAGAGAUCUGGAGGAAUACCGAUGGCGAAGGCAGCCAUCUGGCCUAAUACUGACGCUGAGGUACGAAAGCAUGGGGAGCAAACAGGAUUAGAUACCCCAGUAGUCCCUGUCUCUUAUACA
rnacentral:rRNA from 1 species